AUUCAAUUUUUGGCUUUCUUUCUUACUUUCUUGUUAUGGGGCAUUACUGAUGAGUUGAUAAAAAAUUGUUAUCCUUACAUUUUUAUUUGUAGUGAAGAACAUCAUGGGAAUUUAUUACUUUAAAGAUGCUCUUAAUUUAGUUUUUAAUCAUCAUUAUUAUUUUUAUUUUGAAUUUUUUUGGUUAUGUUUUUAAACUGAGCAGAUCAUGG
rnacentral:misc_RNA from 1 species